CCAGGUGUCCUGCAUAAGGCUGAGUCACUAGUGUUUACUUUCUUGGUCAAAACCCCAUGUCCCUCCUCUAAUCCACUGAUAAGGGAUGUCUUCCUCCUCUAUCUUACUGUAGCUUAUCAGGUCUCAUCAAAACUGUCUGGAUCUACUUUCCCUGUUGCUUAGUUUAGCCACCUUGACUAGUGGAAGUGAUCAAAGAGCUAUCAAACUGGUCAAAGUCUGACUGCCCCUGCUCCCUUUCCUAGGAGAAAUCAAAUGUUCAAACUACUCUCACAACAGCAAUCCAAAACAAACAAGCUGUUUUUGGAUGAACUACAAUUUUGUCUCAGACUCUGGUCCUCUCCAAAGUCACUGUGGACCAUGAUGAAAUCAUACAGAUUGUUGAAGAAAGAACCAAACAUGUUUUUCACCCACAUGGAGGAACCAGGUGUAGAGCCCCAGGGCUAUGGGAUUCCAAGAGUACAUGGAUGAGAGGAAAACAGAACAAUAAAAAGACAGCAAAUUCAGAGCAAGUCUGGCUACAGCAACAGAAAUAUCUCAGUACUGUGACCCUCAGAUGUCUGGACUUUGCUGCAGUGUGUGUGCUGGCCUGUCAUGAGAACCAUUGUGUAUGCACAGACUGAGAGCCUGAAGCAACAGUAGGAAGCAGCUGUAGCAUUCAAAGUCUUCUCUGAUAUUGUUGAGCCUCCUCCUACAACCUGUGUAUGCAUCGAUGGAGUUUCCUCUGUUCACUUGUAGUUAUAAAGGAGAGACCAACACCUACAUGGAGGCAGAUGUUAACCUCGCUACAUUUAUUCCCAUUUCCAUCCCACUUGAUCUAUCACAAUACCUCCAUAUCCUUUUUGACAGAAAACCAACUCUACUAUGGAAGUUCGACCUAUCGAAAUGGAGAAACUAUCAAUAUUUGCUGACCUUAUACUUUGCCAUCGAAGAGAUCAAUAAGGACUCAAACCUGCUUCCCAAUAUAACCUUGGGUUUCCACAUCUAUAAUGCUUUUAUUUCUAACAAAAUAACCUUGGAGGGCCUUCUGAUGUGGCUGUCUGGAAGGAGUGAUUAUAUCCCUAACUACAAGUGCAACACUCAACACAAAGCUCUAGGAAUCAUAUCAGGAAACAAGCCAGAAUUUUCUGCUUCAAUUGCAACACUUUCAGAGCUCUACAAUGUCCCACAAGUAAGUUAGAAACAUAUUUUAUGCACAAUCACAUCUUAGAUCUGACCGAAACAAACAAACCAACAAAAGAACAAUAACAGAACAAACAAAAGAAAACAGAGAAGUGGAUUAUGUUUAGUGUAGGCAGAUUUCUAAGAGCAGUGGACGAAUUACUUUGAUAUGUUAAUAGUUAACAGAUGGCAGUGUUUGGUAAAAAGCAUGAACAGUAAAUUCUGGGAGUUUCUGAGAAGAUCACUUAGUAGUAUCCAUGAUUCUAUCUCCAAACAAUGGAUGAUGUACUGUGGAUGCUCAGUCUGCAUUUGAUAAUAAGUCAAAUUCUAUAGCAAAUGUACCUAACUCCCCAAUCUAGCAUAUAAACAUCUCAAAAUUCCUAUGGUUGUCAAUACCUGACAUAUGGAAAAAGAAAGUCCAGGACAUGUAACUGAGUUUGGAACAAUGUUUAUUGCCAUCAAAUAUGAAAAUCUUUCAAGGAAUUAAUUAUCUUAUUCAGGAAAGUGGAUCUAAGAAUAGCACCCACAGAUACCAUCCACUUAGCUAUAUCAUCACAAUUGACUAUUGCCAGGCUACACUGAAGAAAUGCAUCUAUCAGCAGGUAUUACUACAAACAGAAAAUACUUGGUGAGCACAAGAAUCAGCAAUAAUCAAGAUUAAA